GCGGGGAUGGCCGAGCUUGGCCAAAGGCGCGAGAGCGUAACUGCCGCGUGGCUUAGGACCUCGUGCGGAAGCGCUGCGUGGGUUCAAAUCCCACUCCCCGCA
rnacentral:tRNA from 5 species